ACGCCGUUGGUGAAAUGGUUAUCAUGCUUGCCUUCCAUUAGAUUGCUUACGUAAUCAGUAAGCAAGCGGCGGGGGUUCGAUUCCCCCACGGCGUA
rnacentral:tRNA from 1 species